rnacentral:rRNA from 1 species
UACAGAGGUGCCAAGCGUUUAGGCGGAAUCACUGGGCUUAAAGCGCGUGUAGGUGGAUGGGUAAGUACCUUGUGAAAUCCCACGGCUCAACCGUGGAACUGCUGGGUAUACUGCUUGUCUUGAGGCACUCAGGGGCAGCUGGAACAAAUGGUGGAGCGGUGAAAUGCGUAGAUAUCAUUUGGAACGCCAAAGGCGAAAGCAGGCUGCUGGGAGUGAUCUGACACUGAGACGCGAAAGCCAGGGGAGCAAACGGG